GUGAGUAGUUCAGAGUUUGAUCCUGGCUCAGGAUGAACGCUGGCGGCGUGCUUAACACAUGCAAGUCGAACGAAGCAUUUUAACUUGAUUUCCUCGGAAUGAUUGUUACUUUGACUGAGUGGCGGACGGGUGAGUAACGCGUGGGUAACCUGCCUCAUACAGGGGGAUAACAGUUAGAAAUGACUGCUAAUACCGCAUAAGCGCACGGUAUCGCAUGAUACAGUGUGAAAAACUCCGGUGGUAUGAGAUGGACCCGCGUCUGAUUAGCUAGUUGGUGGGGUAACGGCCUACCAAGGCGACGAUCAGUAGCCGACCUGAGAGGGUGACCGGCCACAUUGGGACUGAGACACGGCCCAA
rnacentral:rRNA from 1 species